AGGCUGCCCGUGGCCCGUCCGCAUUUUUCAAGACGCACAAUACACGGUCGGCCUCU
rnacentral:precursor_RNA from 1 species